CAUCAACUUUCACAGAAUCUUCAAACAAAGGACAGAAACGGAUCGAUGCUUUUACCCCUGUUUCCAGCAUAAGAAGGGCAUCACAAUUCCUGGAAAUUGUAAUCCAUCUUUUGUUCUGAACCUAUUUUCGUUUGCGCUCAGAAGAAAUCCCCAUGGAUCGAUCUUCAUAUUUACCUGCAAUUACCUCUGAAAGCGACAUUGAGGGCGGCCUGCAACAGCAAAAACUGGAGAUGCAGUUACAACAGGCUGUCGAUCAGAAAUGGAAAUGCAUUACUCUUUUAUGGGCUUUGUGGGAAAUCUCUCUCAUAUUUUACCUCACUGUAUUUCGCCCACACACCCGGCUCGCCUCAAUACUUGUAGAGAUUUCCUGGUUGAUUAUUUGUACCAUCUUUGGAGUGCUCUUCUGCAUUAUUUAUCAGAGAAUUGUGGAGGAAAAUGGACUGAAAUCCAAGGGUUAUAUGGAUCAGAUGGUGGGCGUUUUCUCCCAGAGCUCCGAUCCCUCUGAAGCUCUGCUAAAAAAUCCUGGGUCAAGUAGCCUGUUGAAACAAGACCAUCAUCAUCAGCCUCUGCCUUCUCCGGACGAACCGUCGCCUCCUUCGACAGUUCUGAUCCCCAGCUCUAGCAACUCAUCCCUGGAAGUCCAAUCGCGAGAACAGCAGCAGCAGACCCACCAACACCAACAGCCACAGGCACAAGACCGUCCUAUGACGAUGGGUACGGAUCCCCAGGAAUCGGGCGUUAGGCUGGUGCAGAUGCUCAUGGCAUGCGCGGAAGCCGUUCAGGAAAACCGCUCCAUCGUGGCGGGCAAAAUGGUGAAAGACAUUCGCAGCAUGGCGUGCAAUCAGGGCGGCGCCAUGGGAAAGGUCGCCAAAUACUUCGCCGAGGCUCUCACCCUGCGAAUUUACGGUUCUCUUCCACAGGACGCUCUGCUGAACCACAACGACUCCGUGUCUGAGCAGCUUCUCCAUAUCCAUUUCUACGAGAGCUGCCCUUACCUCAAAUUCGCCUAUUUCACUGCAAACCAGGCCAUCCUGGAGGCUUUUGCCGACCACAAGCGGGUGCACAUCAUAGACUUCAAUCUCAAGCAAGGAAUGCAAUGGCCUGCACUCAUCCAAGCCCUGGCCCUCCGCCCGGGCGGCCCGCCGGCCUUUCGACUAACAGGAAUCGGUCCAAGACAGCCCGACGGGUCAGACGUGCUCCAAGAGGUCGGCAUGAAACUUGCCCAUCUCGCUGAGUCGGUAAAUUUAGAAUUCUCCUUCAGGGGGUAUGUGGUCUCUAAUCUCAGUAACCUGAAGCCAUGGAUGCUGGAUAUCAAGCCCGGGGUUGAAGCCGUGGCGGUUAACUCCAUCCUCCAACUCCACCGCCUUAUCGAUUACGACCCAUCUCAACCUUCAUCUUCAAUAGACCAAGUUCUCACCAUGUCCGAAGUCUUAACCCCAAAAUAGUAACUGUAGUAGAGCAGGAAGCUGAUCACAACCGACCCAUUUUCCUGGACCGUUUCAGAGAGGCUCUGCACUACUAUUCCACAAUUUUCGACUCUCUUGAAGCUUGCAGACUCCCACCGGAGAGCGAACAGCAGGUAAUGUCUGAAUUUUAUUUCCGUCAAGAAAUUUGUAACAUUGUGGCUUGCGAGGGAGCGGACAGUGUGGAGAGACAAGAGCCUCUUAUGCAGUGGAGGCUUCGACUGUAUAACGCCGGAUUUAAGCUAUACAUUUGGGGUCUAACGCCUUUAAGCAGGCUAGCAUGUUGCUUACUCUUUUUCCAAGUGGGGAAGGUUACAGAGUAGAGGAGAACAAUGGGUGUUUAACUCUAGGCUGGCACAGUCGACCCCUCAUCGCUGCUUCGCCUGGCAAUGCUCUUCCUGAGUUCUUUAUAUUACUUUCAUGCACACUAGCAGUAUUUGUAACCUGAGCCAGUAUCUUUGCAUUGGGCGCUUCUCUGCAGUUUCUUUUUAGGUUUCGGGACACAUGAAAACUGUUUGUGUUGUUAUACUGGGCUGGGUGCUUUUUGAUUCAGCACUCUCUUCUAAAAAUAUAAUGGGGAUGUUAGUUGCUAUCGUUGGCAUGAUAAUCUACAGUUGGGCGGUGCAGCCUGCAAAACAAGCCAGUGCAAAAAGCAUAUCAUUUACACCUAUGAAAGAGAGCAAUGUCACAGAUGAGGAUGUUAGUCUACGAAAGAGUGGAUUUGAGACUAAUGGCACGGAAGACAUUGAACUUGGUGGUGUAACAAAAUAGUAGUAUAGUCUAUAUAAUAAUGGAUAGGUGUGAAUAGAGGCACUACUAAUCAGUUGCAAGUUCUUCAAUGGUUUUCAUACCAAUUUAAGAAAGAAAGAUAAAGAAUUUUGCUAAGCUUCAUUCAUCGCAAAUUUUAGACCUUGGCUCCUUAAGUUUCAUAGAUGAAGGCCUUCCAUUGUAUGUAUUUAGAGGUCUAAUCUUAUUUCCGAAGGGCUGUAUCAAUAAUCUAGACAGAUUGUUGCUUUCAAUGCCCAAGACAAACUAGUAGCUGCACUGUACACAAUUUAAUAUUUUUGUCCAGAUACUUGGAUUUUGGAGACUGCAAAUUCUUCAUGUUAUCUGGCAUUUUUAGUGUCUAGCUAUCAUCACUUUGUGUAGGUUGACCCA